UGCGGUAUUUUAACUGUACUAAGGUAGCAUAAUAAUUUGCCUUAUAAUUUGAGGCUAGAAUGAAUGGUUUGACGAAGGUUAAUCUGUCUCUAUUUUAUUUCUUAGAAAUUAAUUUUCAUAGUGAAAAAGCUUGAAUUCUUUAAAGGGACGAGAAGACCCUACUGAGCUUAUAAUUUUACUAUUAUUAUAACUAUGUAUUGUUAUAGUAAUAUAUAAAUUUUAAUUGGGGUGAUUAAGGAAUAAAGUAUAUUAGUUAGUAACUUCCUUAGUAGGAUAUAUUGUUGAAUAAAGUAACCGAUAUUACGUAUAGAACCGUAUAUUGCUUAUAAUAUAGUUACCAUAGGGAUAACAGCGUAAUUUAUUUAGAGAGCUUCUUAUUGAAAAAUAAGAUGUGCGACCUCGAUGUUGGA
rnacentral:rRNA from 1 species